rnacentral:rRNA from 2 species
UUUGGUGAUGAUGGCAGAGAGGUCACACCCGUUCCCAUACCGAACACGGAAGUUAAGCUCUCUAGCGCCGAUGGUAGUUG